rnacentral:rRNA from 1 species
GCGUGAGUGAUGAAGGUCUUCGGAUCGUAAAACUCUGUUAUUAGGGAAGAACAUAUGUGUAAGUAACUGUGCACAUCUUGACGGUACCUAAUCAGAAAGCCACGGCUAACUACGUGCCAGCAGCCGCGGUAAUACGUAGGUGGCAAGCGUUAUCCGGAAUUAUUGGGCGUAAAGCGCGCGUAGGCGGUUUUUUAAGUCUGAUGUGAAAGCCCACGGCUCAACCGUGGAGGGUCAUUGGAAACUGGAAAACUUGAGUGCAGAAGAGGAAAGUGGAAUUCCAUGUGUAGCGGUGAAAUGCGCAGAGAUAUGGAGGAACACCAGUGGCGAAGGCGACUUUCUGGUCUGUAACUGACGCUGAUGUGCGAAAGCGUGGGGAUCAAACAGGAUUAGAUACCCUGGUAGUCCACGCCGUAAACGAUGAGU